UAAGUUCAGGAAGAACUCAGGGCUCCCCUGGACUGGGUGUGCCUGGAUUUCAAGUUCUAUUCAGGGAGAGGAUCCCAGGCCUUAUAUUGGUCCUGAUUUCUUCAGAUUCCCUAUUAGCACGAUUUCUACGAGGCCCAACACAAACCCAGUUUACCAGACCUCCGAUUAUACAAGAAAUCUUGCAGAAGAAAGAAAAAGCAAUAGGUA
rnacentral:lncRNA from 1 species